rnacentral:rRNA from 1 species
AUAUCAAUAAGCGGAGGAAAAGAAACCAACAGGGAUUGCCCUAGUAACGGCGAGUGAAGCGGCAACAGCUCAAAUUUGAAAUCUGGCCCUAGGCCCGAGUUGUAAUUUGCAGAGGAUGCUUUUGGCAAAGCGCUUACCGAGUCCCCUGGAACGGGGCGCCACAGAGGGUGAGAGCCCCGUAUGGUUUGACGCCGAGCCUCUGUAAAGCUCCUUCGACGAGUCGAGUAGUUUGGGAAUGCUGCUCUAAAUGGGAGGUAAAUUUCUUCUAAAGCUAAAUACCGGCCAGAGACCGAUAGCGCACAAGUAGAGUGAUCGAAAGAUGAAAAGCACUUUGAAAAGAGGGUUAAAUAGCACGUGAAAUUGUUGAAAGGGAAGCGCUCGUGACCAGACUUGCGCCGGGCGGAUCAUCCAGCGUUCUCGCUGGUGCACUCCGCCCGGCUCAGGCCAGCAUCGGUUUUCGCCGGGGGACAAAAGCUUCGGGAACGUGGCUCCCUUCGGGGAGUGUUAUAGCCCGUUGUUUAAUACCCCGGCGGGGACCGAGGACCGCGCUUCGGCAAGGAUGCUGGCGUAAUGGUCAUCAGCGACCCGUCUUGAAACACGGACCGAGGAGUCAAGCAUUAGUGCGAGUGUUUGGGUGUAAAACCCGCACGCGUAAUGAAAGUGAACGUAGGUGAGAGCUUCGGCGCAUCAUCGACCGAUCCUGAUGUUUUCGGAUGGAUUUGAGUAGGAGCAUUAGCGCUUGGACCCGAAAGAUGGUGAACUAUACUUGAAUAGGGUGAAGCCAGAGGAAACUCUGGUGGAGGCUCGCAGCGGUUCUGACGUGCAAAUCGAUCGUCAAAUU